CUACACUGACUGAGAGCAGGAAUUUAAGUCACACCCCCUGAAUUUAUUUGCUGACAGUAGCAGCUGGAACUAGCCACACAUAUAAAUUUAUAACAGCCUAGCAAGAGAGACUGCUUUGCAUGUUCUCAGCUGAUGAAGCUUCUCAGCCCCGGUGAACAAAGGGUCAAAGCUAGCUAAGCAGUAAAGCAAGUCAGCAAAGCAUCAAGUUAUGAGCCAAAGAUGCUGCCUCAUUGGGUCACUAAUGCCUUGAAGAUGCUUGCUUCAAUGAAUAGUGAUGGCUGCACCCACAGCAGAAAAGAUCAGUCUUCUUGCCAUAAGGAAAGUGAUGAGGAAAUGUCCUUGAAAGCGUGGGAUAACAUUUGCACCAUACAAAGUUGUAUAUCCUCCCCACAAACAAAUCAGGAUGAAUGCUGACUAAAUAGCCAAUAUCUGGAAAGUGUGGGAUAACACUUGCUUUGAAGCAACAUCAUCUAACAUCUCUGCAACCAAUUCAGGAUGAAUGUUCAAUAAACAGGUUGACUGGAAGCACCCCGAUAUGCUUAUUUGGAAGGAGGGUAUACGAAGACCCCUGUAAUCAAGGAGUAUAUAAAUGUUGUGAAAUUAAAUAAAUAAAUCUGCAAUUGUGGCCUUCAGAAGAUAUAGGAACUUCUCGAUUAUCUGUUAUGCACCUCCCUUUAACAAAGAUUUGGGCAGAUUUUCGAGAUGGAAUGCCUGAAAUAGGAGAGGUUGAGAAAAUGUUUAUCAUCUUCCUGAUACGAACAAAUAUAUGACUCAUAUAGUAUCUAAUCUUUGCAUUUGGCAGUGCAAAAGGUUAGAAAUAAAUUUGCUCCACAAAAUGUGAUUAUAUGGCUUAAAGGAGCCAUCUGACUUAAUGGUUUAUAUCGGCCAGUCUGCCAUUUGCUGUUUUUAUUAUUCAAUUGUUCAUUUUGCAUUGUAAAUUUUAUAAGUGGUUUUAUGUUUAAUCUGUAUAUUAUGUAUUGUUUGUGGCAUUGCAGAUCUACAAUGUGUGCCCCAGGUUUGCAAUUACCAAUGAUCACAAGGAAAUAAUGAAACUGAAUACUGAGCUUAUGAUGGUAUGUAGCCAGGCAGAUUUGACUAUGCAAAUGAAGUAGCCUUUAGGAGUCAUUGCCCUCACUCUCAAUGGGCAAACACCUCCUCCCCAUUUUACUGUAACCCCCCCAAAACCCACCACCACCACAAGAGCUUCAGUAGUGCUGAAAAUUGUUGUGAACACUGAACGCCCCCUUUUCAAGUCAGCCUGAAUAGUUCAAAUCUUCCCUUUGGGAGAGGUACUCUGUCAGAUAUUGGGGUCCUGAGCCAUAAAGAGCUUCAUAGGUCAAAACUGGGCUGGGAAGCAUGCAAGCAGGAUUAAGAACGGUUUUCUCUCGCUACCCAAGGCAUGUUGAGCUGCACUUUAACGCCUCCCUGAUGCCUGCUCCGGAAUGAUGCUCUGUCAGGAGUGUUGAGGAGGCAUUAAAAUGGCGGCUCCCACUUUGUACACUCCUCUUCCUCUUCCUCGCUGCCAGGUGGCAAGGAAAGGAAUGCUAAGAGUCCACACCACCUAGUUCGCGGUCAGGUUUCGUUGGGCCCUCUCAUCUGUCUGAGGAUACCACUUGCCCAGACUGCUCCCCAAUCAAACCCACGAAUGACUGCGCCGCAUAGAUGUGGCCCUCCAAAUGCUGUUGGACUCAGCUCCCAUGGCCAACGGCUGGCUGGGGGACAGAGAGGGCUGCGUGAAUGUGAGUAGGAACUAGCCUACUGCGGGAAGAUAACAUAUUCAUUCCUCUGCCCACUUUUGCCUCUGGCCCUGCCCACCACUGGUGUGUGGUGCCCCCUCUGAAAGUUACCCAGAAGGGAAUGCGGCCCUCAGACUGAAAAUGUUUCCCCACCCUCUGAUCUAGAGGCCAGCAGAACACAAGCAAGACUUGAGUCCCCAUCCUCAAGGAGUUUUCAAGCGCAGACAGGGUGGCUGGGUGGGGACUGCUGGCAAGAAAUGGUUGGCUAGAACAGAGAGGCUGAGGUAACAAACUGCACAGGGGGGGAGAGAGUGAUGAUCACUAAGGGAGGAUGAAUAUUGGUGAUGCACCCAGACACUUUCUAUAUGAAAGAGGCUGACCUGUCAAUAAGCAAACAUGGCCACCCCUAGCUAGUUUGGCCCCCAUUCUGCUCAUGUCUUGAGUGCACCUCAAGAGAACUUUCCCAAGUCACAGAGCAUUUGAAAGAGACACAUGCAGACAAGGAAGCCAGGAAGUUGUUGUGUCGGUCCCCAAAAGGAUGCCUUAUUUUCCAAGUUGUGCAUUUUCAACUGACCUAUUUUCAUAUGUUUUUUGUUUAUUAGUCUAAGCAGGAGAGUUUACUUCUCUCUCUCCUAUAACAAGGGCUAAAUUUUAAAAUAUUAUUUGGCAAAAACUCUUUGUUGCUGACAUCACAUGUCUUUGGGAAUAAAGGGGCUUCUGAGGCAUAGUUUUCAUGUCCAAGGCCCAUCUCCACCCAGAGGAGGGUAGAGCUAAGGAGGAGGUGUGUUGCCUUUUGAACGCCAGCCAAACACAAAGAAAGCGUCUUUUUUCCAUGACUACAUAUUGUGUAACUGCUGUACUAUUUUCCCGGAGGAAGAACACAGAUGUU